rnacentral:rRNA from 1 species
AACGAACGCUGGCGGCGUGGAUAACACAUGCAAGUCGAACGGGGUUGUUUGUGUAGCAAUACAUCGACAAUCUAGUGGCGAACGGGUGCGUAACACGUGAGCAAUCUGCCGGGAAGUGGGGAUAGCUCGCCGAAAGGCGAAUUAAUACCGCAUGUGGCCAGAGGGGACAUCCCUUCGACGCCAAAGUCGCAAGACGCUUCCUGAUGAGCUCGCGGCCUAUCAGCUUGUUGGUGAGGUAACGGCUCACCAAGGCUAUGACGGUAGCUGGUCUGAGAGGACGACCAGCCACACUGGAACUGAGACACGGUCCAGACACCUAACGGGUGGCAGCAGUCGAGAAUUUUUCACAAUGGGGGAAACCCUGAUGGAGCGACGCCGCGUGGAGGAUGAAGGUCUUCGGAUUGUAAACUCCUGUCAUGCGAGAACAAGAAAGUGAUAGUAUCGCAAGAGGAAGAGACGGCU